UAUUAAUGAUAAAUAACAUUGUGCAUAACCUAGUUGAUAAUGAUCAGGUUAUAAUUCUAUUACAAUCUUAUAAUUAUUUGAUAUUAAAUUUAAAAUCAUUUCUAGGAUUAAUAACAUUCUGCAUAACCUAACCAAUAAUUUGUAAACAUAAGAAGUGCAUUUAGGGUACAUAACUUAUUAUCUAAAUAAGCAGUGAAAGAACGUAUAAAAAAAAAAAAAACAUGGGAAAUGAACAAUUUCUUAUCGAUCACAAAGUGGACAUUUAUCCUCCUUACUAUUAAACUAAACAUGUUAAACGUAUAUAAACGAAGGCACAACGAUCCUCGACCCUUACGAAUGAUUUCACCAUGAAAACGUGAUUAUAGACUAAAUAAUCAUCAUCUAUCUUCCCUUAACACUCUUUCAUUAUUAUUUAAUCUCUCUUUCUUGUUAUUUUAUUAUUUUUUACUUCUUAGCACUUGUAAUCAUGGUAAAAUUGAACUCUUUGUGAACAUUGUAAUACAAAUAUACGCAUAAGAGUUCAAAAUACAUCGUAAAGGGGACCGAGUGCCUUCUAAGUAUUCAAUUAGAUAAACACAUAAUAUUUAAUCAUGAUAAAAUUCCAAAUUUAUGUCUUAUAACGUAAAUUACCUUCUAUUGUACAACGCCGAUAUAUCUAGCUUAUAAUUAAUUAAUCAAUUAAUUCAUUAAUUCUUAAAUCUAUAUUCUUUCUCAAUUGCAGCUUCAUUAAAAGUAAACACGGGAAAAGAAGUUAAAGAAAAUGAAAGAAGAAAAAAAAAACAAAUGCUGUGUACGAAGAAAAGAGGCAUCAUUCGUUCAAGAUAUGUAUGUAUUAUUUUUGUGUUUGGUCUCACAGGUGAAUAUCUUGUUUAUAUUUGAAUAUUUAUGAAAUCAUAUUAUAAUAUGCUUUUUUUU